AAAAUUCCUAUAAAAACCCCAUAAAAUUCCCCCGCGCGGGCGCUCCCGAAGUUCGUUCCCUGUGGGAAAGGCGCCCUCGCCGCGACGCGUGUCCUGCUGGCCGCGUGCCACGCGCUGGACAACAGCACGGCCGGCCGGAGCGCCCCGGUGGCAGCGGCGGUGAGGUCGCACUUCAACGAGUGCCCGGACUCGCACCGGCAGUUCUGCUUCCACGGCACGUGCCGCUUCCUGGUGCAGGAGGAGAAACCCGCCUGCGUGUGUCACUUGGGGUACGUGGGGACACUCUGACCUGCUCUGUGUCCCUGUGUGUCCCCAGGUGU
rnacentral:lncRNA from 1 species